UGUUCAGGGGUGCAGGUGAAGAAUGCUGCAGUAGAGGAGAGGAGGGUGGGGAUGAAGAAGGGCAAGGACCCUGCAGAGUAUCCGGAGAAUGGACUAGGUACUGAAGAAAGGAAGCAAAGAAGGAAAGAGAAAGGGAAUCACCAUGUGCUAGUUCAUGUGACCUUCCUUCCUUCCUUCCUUCCCUCAGCAACACUAAUCACGCACCAGUUAUGCACCAGCCCCCAAAUGUUUGUAGACUGAGAUUUUCUAUGUCUGAUUCAAUGCAAAGAUUGAAAGGCAGAACAACGUGGUGGAAAGCAUAGUGAUUUGAAAUGAGAAGAUCCAAUUCAUGUCCUAAUUGACUGGUUAUGUGAAUUCAGUUCCAGAGCAGCAACUUACUGUGACCUUGAUGACAGUAAGCAAACUUUUCAGAUGUAUUACUCUAAUGUUUGUGACGCCGUUCAAGAACACAUAUAUUCAUUCAUUCAUCAACUGUGGAUGCCCAAUAGUGUGACUGUCAUCACCGAACAGCUGGUCAGACCUGGGCAGGAGCAGGUCACAUCUUCACAUUUAGCAGCUCCCUUAAAAUCGCUGGACCUGAGCCUCCCUGGUGGCGCAGUGGGUUCAGCGCAGCGUUGUGAAGCUGUCUGCAGCCUCCGCAGCACCAGUUCGAUUCCUGGCAGGCCAGGGAGAAUCCCACAUGGCACGGCAGACCUCUCUUGUCUCACCCGCUGCUCCCCUCAGCAAUGCCUUCGAUCUGUCUGCCUGUUCUGCUCCCUGCUCUGUCUCUAGUGAAUCCUCUCACCCUCCCACGACUCUGGCCUGUAC